rnacentral:misc_RNA from 1 species
GUGUAAUAAUAGCAAUUUUCUAGUAAUUUUAUCGAUAAAUUUCUUGAAACACGUAUUUCAUUUUUCUACGAUACUACGGCAAUCGCUAAAUACAGGAACAAAACAGGAAGCGCUCGAGUUGCGUCGUACUCCGCCCGCAUCGUACAUUCGCUGUCGCUAUUUACCUAUUUCUGUCCGCGUUCCGACGGUGUUUCGAAAAUUGACACGACCACGCGUUCGUUUCCACGACAGAAUCGACGUGUUCGCGGCACGACGCCGCUGACUCGACGCGAUGAUCCACGAGAAAACGAAGAUCGACAGGUAAUUCCUCACGGCGACUGUCAACGAUUCCAACAGAUUGUAUAUUUUUCCUAUUUGUGGGAAAACAUAAAAAAAAGUAACCUGACCCCUUCACCAGAUGUGAUUGAUUUUGAAAGGAAAAUGUAGAACUCCUCGUGCAGAUGUUACAGCAAUGUAAGUAUAAACUAUGUGUAAUAUUAUUAUGAAAUUUUUAUAAAGAUAUUAUUAAAA